GCUUGUCACACCGGUGCUGUGGUUGAGGGGAUGGGAGGGACAAGGCCGGAGCAGGCUUGUUAUCAGAUAUUAUGUCCGGGAUCGCUUUUUACAUCCGCGUCGGUGGAACCUGCAUUUCCGCAUGCAAAGAUACCGAGACUGUUCACAGGAAAUUCCGCCUGGCCCUAGUGACCUCACUUCCAUUGAAGAACCCAUGACCGAAGAGACUUCCUGUUCCGGCCCUUUUGAUGACAUCACGUCCGGGUCUGAACCUAUGGAAGAGGACUUUUCUGUUUCUGCCCUUGAUGACUUCACUUCCAUUUUCUGGCCUUUAAAGCAACCAUAUUUGACUAACAUCAUCAGUUAUGUUUUGGACUCCAUUCUGAGCACAUCAGUGCUAGCAAUUUAAACAUUUGCAGCCAAGAAAUUUUAUAUGGGUGGCUGCCCCAAACCUU